GACAAACGCUGCCAUCAUGGUAGAGGAAAGUCCAUGCUCACACAGUCUGUGAUGAUUGUAGUGUUCGUGCUAAGGGAAAAAAUAACCUUAGGUAGUGCUUAGCUAACGGCUCCGAAAUAACCUAAGUAUUUUAUAUAUGGUUAGAUUAGGUAUAAAAGUGCCAUAGAGACGAUGCUUUUAGAAAUAAAAGAAGUGGAACGUGGUAAACCCCGCGAGUGAGAAACCCAAAUUUUGGUAGGGGAACCUUGAUAAGGAAAUAAGAACUGAUUCAAGGAUCGUAAGAUAGAUAAAUGUUUGUCACCUUUAAGGUACAGAACAUGGCUUAUAA
rnacentral:RNase_P_RNA from 1 species